CCUGCGUGAAGUCGGAAUCGCUAGUAAUCGCGGAUCAGCAUGCCGCGGUGAAUACGUUCCCGGGCCUUGUACACACCGCCCGUCACACCAUGAGAGUCGGGAACACCCGAAGCCCGUAGCCUAACUUUAACGAGAGGGCGCGGUCGAAGGUGGGUUCGAUAAUUGGGGUGAAGUCGUAACAAGGUAGC
rnacentral:rRNA from 1 species